rnacentral:lncRNA from 1 species
AUAUUAUGCUUAUAUUUGCAAAUUUAUAAUUUAAACACUUUUUGUGUAAAGUUUUAGUUUUCUUUUUCGCUGCUUGCUAUGUACAAUUAUUCAGUCCACUAUAUAAGAGUCAAGUCAAUAAAUUAUUUCAUCCACUAGAAUAUUCCUGCAAUUCUUAGACAAAACAUUUUUCAAUCUGUUCUUCAAAGAUCCUCCUCGGUACAUCUUUAUUGGAUGGAGCGAUUCAAAUGAGAAGACAAAGCAGGUUUAUUUGGACAACAACAUACUAAUAUUUUUUCAUUCGUUCCUUCUUUCAAUUGAUAAUUACAUUGUUGCAUUUACAAGAUCAAGUUCUUGAGCAUCUAUGAUCGUGAUGAUAUGACUCCUUUUUGUUUAUAGUCAUUAUGUUGAAAUUUCCUUUUUCUAUCAAAUGGUAAAUAAUAGUGUUUCAAGAAAGUAUUCUAUAAUUCAUAAAUAAACAUAUAUUGAUACUUACAUUAUCUACUUUGUUGUUUAAAAGUUUAGUUUUGAACAG